UGCAGCUUCAAGACCAUUCGCGUCACUGCUGGAAACAACCAAAGAGCCACCGGUCGUCAAUUGAUCUCCCAUCUGAUGGGGCGCAUAAAUUCUCACUGAGACUCAAGUCGAUAUGAAGACACCACUGGGAUUCUACUGAUAUGAACAAUGCAAGUGACAUCAAUAAAGUAGCAUAUGGAUUCCUGCUUUAGUAAACUAUUGGACCAGUGGAUUCCGGCAGCACCGAGAUUGGGACAGGCAAUUAGAUGGGACCAUCGCCAUUGUGCUUAAAUGAUGAAUCAAGGACGAGAUCACGCUCUAACGGCUGAGGAAACUAGACAUGAAUAAAAAGGAAAGAUGCACUUUUGUUAAACAAUGUUUUAGCGAAGUUCAUGCUUGGCAGUUCGAAAAGGAUGGCAAUUUCAUGGUAAGAUGUUUAUGACAACUAACACAUUGAGGCAGUAAGAGCCCAUGAAUAGUUUUCUCUGCAGCAGUACUGGAAGAACAAUUUCUUUUCCACUUUAUAUGGUUUCUUUAAUGGUUUAUGAUUUAGAGUUUGAAGCUUGAUAAUGUCAUCACAAGAUUUACUUAGAUGUUUGGACACUGGUCAUGGUUGUUUGGAAGGCUGAUGUAAGUGGACCACUCUUGACUUAACUGCACUUCUUAGACAACAUUUGAUCUGAAAGCUUUCCGACAAUGUAGAAGCAGAACUUGUUGUUUGAGUACUGCAUUUCCUUUUUUUUCCUUCUUAGAUUUAAUGGCUGGCAUUGGAAAAUUUUAGCUUUUGUAUUCAUUGUGUUCAUUCCAAUACCAAGUAUUGUUUUCCGAUGUAUCACUUUGGAUGAUCUGUUAUUUCUAUAUUGCUAUUUGCUUCAGCCUGAUCAACAAAUCUCUGUGUUGACAGCAUGCAGCAGUGAAGUAUCCCAUGUGACUUGUAUUUUCCUUCAGAAAAAUUAUUAAACCUGAACGAAUUUGAUGUGUUUGUGUGGUUUGCUUCAUUCCAGAAUGGUCCACACAGUACCACUGGAGCACUAUCUUUGAUGAUAAGUCCAUUCGUGUCUCUAUUUUUGUUUAUUCACAAACAUAUGUAGUAUGUUAGGGAUAGUGGUGUUCUUACCAUUCAAAGUUAAGAACUCUUUUGCAAUAAGUUGUUCUUUACCUGGAGCUGUAUGUAAGUACACUCUGAAUUCUGAAGCUUACUGUGCCAUAUCCAGUCCUGGCUUGGAUGGAUUUCGUGAGUCAAUUUGGACUGAACCAUGCCGGUCUGCAAUACGUGCUGACUUACAAGUGAGAGUUGUGCCUUUGCGACUCAGAUGAACUUCUACCUGAGAUACUUCCAAAGGAACCCAUUGACUGGACUUAUGGGUGAUACAAGUGAUGCAUCAGUUGGCUGAUUGAUAAAUGAUUCUUUUGUUUGCCCCUUUGCCCCCUUGUAUAUGUAUGAAAAAUAUAUUAGUACACAGAUCAGUGAUCCAAAAAUGUUGGUAGUUUGUUUG